GACGAACGCUGGCGGCGUGCCUAACACAUGCAAGUAGAACGCAGUUGCGAACGGGGGAGUAAAGCGUAGGUAAAUGGCUCAUAGCGGGGGAUAACGAUUGGGAAAGAAAGCUAAUACAGCAAACUGUGAGCUGGACCUGAGGUGUAUUAGCUAGUUAGUGAGGGAAAGGCUCAACAAUGCGACGAUACAUAGCCGACCUGAGAGGGAGCUCGGCCACACUGGGACUGGGACACCGCCCAGACUCCUACCGGAGGCAGGAGUAGGGAAUCUUCGGCAAUGGACGGCAGUCUGAACGAGGAACGCCGCGUGAGUGAAGAAGGUUUUCGGAUCGUAAAGCUCUGUUCUUAGAGGAGCGUUAACUAACCAGAAAGGGACGGCUAACUACGUGCCAGCAGCCGCGGUAAUUC
rnacentral:rRNA from 1 species